AUGCUAGCUGUUUUUUUGUUUUUUUUUCAGCUGAUGGCCAAGCAUGCUAUAGACUACAACGUGUUUGGUGGGCCUCAAAACUUUGGAAAGUGGAUGGGCGUGCACUCAGCUCCGUCUUGUCCUGUUGAGGUAAUCAAGGAUAUAUAUCUAUGGUUGUGUUUGGUUUAUUUUGAUCUUGUGCACGUGACUUUAAUACGGGUUGGUUACUGCUGCUUCUUGUUUCGUGCACAGGCGAGGGCACCUGUUGAGCAUCUAAUUGGGCAGUUUGCAUCCAGAAUGACCAGCUUGCUCGGGAAGUUGGUUGAGGGUUGGACGUCCCUUAAUGGCUCUGACCGCGACGCGGUUGCGAGGCAGUUCCCUCCUUUUGUUGUAGAACGGACACAUCGGCCAACUGGUUACCGUGGUCGGUACGACUACAACAGCUCACAGGAGCUUCCGGACACACAAGAUGAACUAGAUGGAGAUGCUGCUCUUGACAAGGACAAUGACGAUGACAUGGAGAACGGGCAUCAUGACACCGACGAUGAUGAACAUGUUGAAGUUCGUGCAGGUGGUAAGAAGGGCAAGGGUGCACCAGAUGUCCCCUCACCGGAGAAAGUCAAAGAACAUACAACUGCGAGAGGCAAGGGGGUGUCGCCCUCAAAGAGGGGGAGGGAUCCAGAGGAUGUUGGGCAGGGCUAUCCUGUCAAGAGACCUAGGACCGAUCCCUUAGCUGCUAGGAGGAGGUUUGACUUCUAUUUUAGUGUUUUGUUUUGUCUCUCCUCUCGAACAGACUGA
rnacentral:rRNA from 1 species